GAUGAACGCUGGCGGCGUGCCUAAUACAUGCAAGUCGAGCGAACGGACGAGAAGCUUGCUUCUCUGAUGUUAGCGGCGGACGGGUGAGUAACACGUGGAUAACCUACCUAUAAGACUGGGAUAACUUCGGGAAACCGGAGCUAAUACCGGAUAAUAUUUUGAACCGCAUGGUUCAAAAGUGAAAGACGGUCUUGCUGUCACUUAUAGAUGGAUCCGCGCUGCAUUAGCUAGUUGGUAAGGUAACGGCUUACCAAGGCAACGAUGCAUAGCCGACCUGAGAGGGUGAUCGGCCACACUGGAACUGAGACACGGUCCAGACUCCUACGGGAGGCAGCAGUAGGGAAUCUUCCGCAAUGGGCGAAAGCCUGACGGAGCAACGCCGCGUGAGUGAUGAAGGUCUUCGGAUCGUAAAACUCUGUUAUUAGGGAAGAACAUAUGUGUAAGUACCUGUGCACAUCUUGACGGUACCUAAUCAGAAAGCCACGGCUAACUCCGUG
rnacentral:rRNA from 1 species